CUACGGGUUGCAGCAGUGGGGAAUAUUGGACAAUGGGGGCAACCCUGAUCCAGCAAUGCCGCGUGAGUGAAGAAGGCCCUAGGGUUGUAAAGCUCUUUCACCCGUGAAGAUGAUGACGGUAGCGGGAGAAGAAGCCCCGGCUAACUCCGUGCCAGCAGCCGCGGUAAUACGGAGGGGGCUAGCGUUGUUCGGAAUUACUGGGCGUAAAGCGCGCGUAGGCGGCUUUUCAAGUUGGGCGUGAAAGCCCGGGGCUCAACCCCGGAAAUGCGCUCAAAACUGAGAGGCUAGAGACCGGGAGAGGAGAGUGGAAUUCCCAGUGUAGAGGUGAAAUUCGUAGAUAUUGGGAAGAACACCAGUGGCGAAGGCGGCUCUCUGGCCCGGUACUGACGCUGAGGUGCGAAAGCGUGGGGAGCAAACAGGAUUAGAUACCCUUGUAGUC
rnacentral:rRNA from 1 species